GUAAUUAUCCGUCAUCAUGGCAAUGUUUCUCUUUCUUCCUUCUCGAUCCUUUAACUCCUUAAUCAUUGCUUCCUCAGGAAUGCCUUGAUUAAGCAUAUUCCAUUCCAAACUAGUAUUAACGGGUAAAGGAGGUGACGAUCUUGUUUGCAAUUCGCUUUCUUUGGUCGAGGAAUCCUCCUCCUUCUUUGUAAAUUCUGAUGGUGUCUGCCUACUUUUUCUCUUUAACUCAUCCACAUAAGCAUUGGAGUAUCCACUUUCAUGCGAGAGAGCAUCCAUUCUUCGCGAUAUUCUUUAUUAAUUAGAUAACUAAUACUUGGACUUAAAACAUUUUACUUACAAAUCAUCAACCGAAUGAAAAGAGCUUUGCUUUUUUACCUUUGGAAUCAAAGGGAUUUGAGAAUCCUCCCCAUCGUCGUCUCCUUCCUAAUCAAUGUUUGUUAAUAUAACAGAUGAAUUGGUAAAACGUUUUCCAGCAAAAAACAACUUACCUCGUUCUCAUAUUUCACCCUAAAUUUUCCCGAAUUUUUUUCUUUCGCUUUUGUUUUUCUUCUAUUUGCAUUUUUGUCUAAGCAUUGUUAGUACACUUGCGAUAAUAAGUUCUAUUCGAGCCCAAGCACUUUUGCGCUUUUAAGUUCUUACUUGAUUGAGAAACGUUUAAAUUUUCUUCAUGCUUUUCUUCCUCAUUGUCGCUCGUUUGCACGAUUUUAGGCUUCGCCUUUUUUAAGUAUCGUCGCAUGUUGGUAAAUGGGUGCUACUUUCUAGGCAAACAUAUUUCUACCAAUCUUUCAUAUUGAAUAGCUAUUUUUGUAAAAAAAAAAUCAUAUAAAGUCUUAAUUAAAAUGAUGUUUUUAUGUUCUGUGAAAAUUAGAAAGGGAUAAACAUAAAUGUCUUUACUUGGGCAUUUAAUAUUAUGGCACAUACUGAAGAGGUGCAUCGGAUAAUGCAAAGCAUCAGAAAAGUAUUUGUUCAAUUGACUUACAUUUUUUUCGACUAAUUUUAGAGAAAUGUGUUUGAAAUUCAAGUUUCAGAUUUAAAACUUUUAAUUGAAAAGCUACAAUCGACAAGCUACCAAUAUCUACU